rnacentral:lncRNA from 1 species
CGGGCUUGGUCUGGAAGUGCUUUCACCUCUGUCCCCCAGCUCUCCCCUCUGGGCAAUGGGCUUGGAAUGGGAGUGCUUUACCUCCACACCCACAGCUGUCUCCAUGCAUGCACCCCCUCCGCAGGGGCCUGGCGGGGCAGCUCACCUGUGCUUUGCUCCCAUCCUGGGCACUGAGAAGGCCAAGCAGAGGCCCAGAGGGGAGCAACAGCCACAUAGGGACCCAAGAGCCCACCAGAGCCCCUCAGGUGAGACGUGCAGCCCACUGCACCUGUCCCUGCUGCCACCGCCCAUCCACCCAUGGACAGCAGAGCCCCGGGCUGGGCAGAAAGAUGCCAGGAGUCCUCACUUCCUCCAUGGCGGAUAAUGAAGGUGACCCUGCGUGCUGAUCCCCGGAGGCACAGACUGCACAGUGAGGAGCCUGACUAGGGGGUCCCAAGGCCAAGGCCAGAGCCUCUCACAACAGGAGAGUCUGACAAUGACAGACGCCCCUCCUGUUCCUCCAAUGAAGGCCUCACAAGGCACUGUUGAGGCCUCCUAAGAAUUUAAUAAAAAAAAAAAAAAAAGCACCAACCAACCAAUCUCUGAACAUCGGUAGCUUCAAAAAAGGAGUACAAGUGUUCCCUGUUUUGAGAAACUAUUAUUACGUGCCACACACUCUGGCCCAGGAAUUCCCCAAGAGCCCCAGGUCACACCCCUCCAUGCCCUCCACUGUUCUCUUACUUUGGAAUGCAGGGAUUAAACUGGUGAAUGAUUAUGAAAUCUUAGAGUGGUAAAAGCUAUUCCAGGCCUUACCCCAAAGCCAGAAACCACAAAAGAAAACUUGAUUGAUUUAGCUACAGAAGAACUUCAAACUUGUGUGUAGUAAAAAAAUAAAAAGGCAGGACACAGUAGCUCCCAUCUGUAAUCCCAGCACUUUGGGAAGCCAAGGAGGGUGGAUCACUCAAGCCAGGAGUUCAAGACCAGCC